GACCAGACUCCUACGGGAGGCAGCAGUGGGGAAUAUUGCACAAUGGGGGAAACCCUGAUGCAGCGACGCCGCGUGAGCGAUGAAGUAUUUCGGUAUGUAAAGCUCUAUCAGCAGGGAAGAAAAUGACGGUACCUGACUAAGAAGCCCCGGCUAACUACGUGCCAGCAGCCGCGGUAAUACGUAGGGGGCAAGCGUUAUCCGGAUUUACUGGGUGUAAAGGGAGCGUAGACGGCUGUGCAAGCCAGAUGUGAAAGCCCGGGGCUCAACCCCGGGACUGCAUUUGGAACUGUGUGGCUGGAGUGUCGGAGAGGCAGGCGGAAUUCCUAGUGUAGUGGUGAAAUGCGUAGAUAUUAGGAGGAACACCAGUGGCGAAGGCGGCCUGCUGGACGAUGACUGACGUUGAGGCUCGAAAGCGUGGGGAGCAAACAGGAUUAGAUACCCGUGUA
rnacentral:rRNA from 1 species